ACUCUAAAUUUCUCAUUUCAGGAAUUUGAAGCCUGUGCUUUGGCUAAGUUUUUUUUUUUUACCUUUACUCACAUUUUUUUACCUCUUCCUUUGUUGAUGUUGAUUGCGAUUGGGUUAAAAAUAUUGGGUGAGGUCUACAUCAUAGCUAUGUUGCUAGAUUUUUGUUGGUAUGAAAUUAAUUGAGCGAAACUAAUUGGAUGUAUAUUUGCUGAGUUUUUACAAUAAUCAAUCCAUGUUAACACCCGCUUUCCCAUUUUGAUAUUGCUCAUUUGAGAAAAUCAAAUGAUUUCAGAAAAAAAAUACUUUUCGUUAGGAAAAUCACAAACAAACAUUUAUUCUUUUGCUUUUUCUGAAUAUUGCUCCCAUAGCAGUGAUGACUCUUGUCAAACCGUGAGAGAAGAGAAGAUUUUCAUAAAAAGUCUCAUGUUGGUGACCUUCUUUCCCCUCAUUCUUCUUUUCUCUCUUCUUCUACACUGUUUCAGGGGUGACCACUGGUAGCAAGGUGUAUUAGGUCCAAUUCAUAGUACCUGAAAGCACACUUUACUCAAAGUGGGAGGAGGUGUUAGUAGGAAACAACACGUCUGGAUCCACAGGUGUGACCGAAUUUUGUGGUACGGAGAAGGUCUCCAUCAGUUAUCAUAUGUCCGCGGAGAAUCAAAGUUUUCAGACCACAGACCUGUUUAUGGCAUAUUUUGUGCUGAGGUUGAGUCAACUCAUGGCAGAUUGAAGAAAACUAUGAGUUGUUCUCGUUCCAGAAUUGAGGUGGAGGAACUUCUGCCAUAUUCUGGUGGAUACACUGAGCUGAGUUUUUUCUAAAGGAAGAAAGCAAUUGGUCCCCCAUUACCAAGCUGGAAUUACUUUGAAGAAAACUCAUUCAUGGAGGGAGAUAGGGACAACCCAUUUCCCACAUACCCAAAAAGUUUAUAAUCUGUAGUUUUGGGCUACAGUCAUGCUUUGCCUAACACAUGAUCAGUACAGUACAUCAUCAUCUU